ACGGAGGAUGCGAGCGUUAUCCGGAAUUAUUGGGCUUAAAGGGCGCGCAGGCGGACAAUUAAGUCAGUGGUGAAAUACUGGAGCUUAACUGUAGAAAUGCAAUUGAUACUGAAAGCCUUGAGUUUGGAUAAGGAAGGCGGAAUGCGUAGUGUAGCGGUGAAAUGCGUAGAUAUUGCUAGGAACACCAAUGGCGAAGGCGGCUUUCUGGACUGACUCUGACGCUGAGGCGCGAAAGCGUGGGAAUCGAACGG
rnacentral:rRNA from 1 species